rnacentral:rRNA from 1 species
AACGAACGCUGGCGGUGCGUUUUAAGCAUGCAAGUCGAACGGCAAGAAGGUGCUUGCACUUUCCUAGAGUGGCGGACUGGUGAGUAACACGUGGGUGAUCUACCUUUAAGAUGGGGAUAGCUUUUAGAAAUAAGAGAUAAUACCGAAUACACUUACGAUGUUUUGACAUUGUAAGAAAAGGAGCGUUUGCUCCGCUUAAAGAUGAGCCUGCGUCCCAUUAGCUAGUUGGUGAGGUAAAGGCCCACCAAGGCGAUGAUGGGUAUCCGGCCUGAGAGGGUGACCGACACAUUGGGACUGAGAUACGGCCCAAACUCCUACGGGAGGCAGCAGCUGAGAAUCUUCCGCAAUGGACGAAAGUCUGACGGAGCGACACCGCGUGAAUGAUGAAGGCCGAAAGGUUGUAAAAUUCUUUUGCAGACAAAGAAUAAGGAUAGUGGGAAAUAACUGUCUGAUGACGGUAGUUAUGCGAAUAAGCCCCGGCUAAUUACGUGC